rnacentral:rRNA from 1 species
UACGAAGGGGGCUAGCGUUGCUCGGAAUCACUGGGCGUAAAGGGCUCGUAGGCGGCCAACUAAGUCAGACGUGAAAUCCCUCGGCUUAACCGGGGAACUGCGUCUGAUACUGGAUGGCUAGAGGUUGGGAGAGGGAUGCGGAAUUCCAGGUGUAGCGGUGAAAUGCGUAGAUAUCUGGAGGAACACCGGUGGCGAAGGCGGCAUCCUGGACCAAUUCUGACGCUGAGGAGCGAAAGCCAGGGGAGCAAACGGG